GGUCUAAUAGUGUAGAGGUUAGCACAUGGGAUUUUGAUACUGUUGCAUAUUCCCAUAACCCAGGUUCGAGUCCUGGUUAGACCU